CUGCAGGUGACAGCCUGGGCGAGGGAACAGAGACAGCUCUGCACACACGCUGAUGGGAUUGCAAUACACGAUGUGACAGCUGCAAACACCUUCAAAAUAAAGGCAAAGUUCCAGCUCAGUGUGAUGUUCAGACUCCAGCUCCAGCAUUAAGUUUUUCCAGAGUGGUGGGAUGGAAGAGUGUAACGAGAUCUGGGAGCAGAGAAUCUGCAAAGCUUCCUGCUGAAGAAAGUACAAGUUCUCUGGCUGCAUUUCGUGCCUGCUGUCAACCCCCUGUGUUUGCUCUGCUGUCAGACCACAUGAAGAUUAAAUAUGGAGUUCUGGCUCUACAACUGCACUGACCACUGUGAAUGGUUUCAUGAUCAUUAAUGGACAGCAUCAUUCUCUCCCUGGGCCAUGAAAACAGGAAAAGACUAACAACUGUGCUGCAGGACAGGGCAAAUUCUCCUUGUGCAGUGGUUUGAUCUCUGUAACACAGCUGCCAUCAUGCUUAAAAUGGGAGAAAAGUUAACCAGAAACAGAAAUCAGGGAGAGAAAGGUGAAGAAGAAAAUGUAGGGAGCACA